AGAGAGACCGCGCUCGCAUUAACGUUCCUCCGCCCCGUGGCAUUCGAAUGCAUUCCACCUUUUUUUCUUCUUCUUCUUGUUUCGCUUCUUAUUCUCCCCUCCCCUUCUUUUUUCUUUUCUUCGUUUCCUGUUUAUUUGUUCUUUUUGUUUUGAACAGUCGUAAUUUUCUUGUUUCAGGAGAGCGACGGAGAAAAGAGCGAUCAGGACUUGGUGGUGGAUGUCGCGAACGAGGAGGCGUCAUCACCGCACGCGAACGGGGAACACUCAGAUCCACGCGAGAACGGCACCCUGGAGAAGCUGAGUGCUCCAGGACACGCGGGACCGACUUCCGGCUCUGGCUCCACUUCCGUAAAAGACAGGCCGCCCUCGCGAAGCGGAAGUUCCUCCGCUCGUAGCACACCAUCUCUGAAAAGUAAAGAUAUCGACAAGCCGGGUACACCUGUGGCGGCGGCGAGGGGGUCGCGCAGCUGUACGCCAACUAUGGGCGGAAUCCCUGGGCCCGUGGCAUCGCGAGUCUAUCAUCCGCCAUCGUCGCAGCAAACGCCACCGCAGGGCUAUCAGGGUUUGCCGUCCCGCGGCAAUGAGCCGCCGCAAUCGUCUUCGCCGUACAGCAACUUACCAUACGCCAGGACUUCGAUGGUAUACUUGGUGGAACGAAUAUAGUGACUCUCGCGAACGCGACGCAGGGUGUGACAACGCGAUACAGCCGUGAACGGGGUUGCCACUUAUCGACGAGUCUGAAGCGGGCCAAUUUUGUUUCUGAGAGGCUGAAGCUGUAGACGCGUGGGUGUAGGGCGGAUUCGAAUGCAUGGGUUGAGAGUAAACACGCGAAUUCAUUUGGCGAAGGAGAAUGGAAAAGUCCCGGAGCAUUUUGUAAUUGGAGGCUUUGUACCGCGGGUAGAAUGUAUCGUCGAUAAGUGCCGCGAGGCCUAAGGUAGAGAACUGUUUUUGAGAGGCUGAGGCUGUGUUUGUGCGCGUGUAGGGACAUGUAGUUUCAAAUGUGUAGGUUUAGAUUAAAUAUGCGAAUUCUUUAGGCAAAGGAGAAUCGAAAAGUUCUGAAGUAUUUUGCAAUCCGUGGCUUUGUAUUGCCGGUAG